AAUUCUGAGUUCUUUGUACUUCAUCACAGACUGAAUCCUUGGAACACAAGAAUCCUGAAGGUGGUGGAAAAAGAAAAGGCACCCACCUGAAGGAAGUGUCUUCAUGUAAUGCAAACGUGGGCAGCGGCUAAGCACGCUCAAUUUGGUGACCUCCUUCCUGCUACCCACCUCCCCCUACAGACUCUCCCAACUCCCCAGUGACUGAUCCCUCAUGCCUAGCAACAACGGCAGCUGCUACGGUUUCUUGACUCUCACUAGAAAAAUGGGCCUGGAGCCAAGUCUGCUGUCCAGGGCUCCUUGUGGAAGAUGCUAGAAGAGCACCACACACUCUCGCUGUCAGUGACCCAAGUUUAUCACCUCUGCCGAACAUCUGGAUUGCAGCACAAGGAGUUCAAAGGUCCAGCGUCUGUGUCUGCACCUGGCCUUGCUAUUUAAAUGAAGCUGACCUCAAAACAAACACCAGCUUCUAUGCUGUUAUUUAUGCAGAGGGUCGGAUGCUAAAUAUAAAUGUUAACUCCGGCAUCUUCUCGGCAUAGGGCUUUGUGACUGACGGAGGCAUAUGAACCAUACGGCGCUACCCAGCUUUUCUCUGACUACUAAACUCUUUCCCCAAGCGGGCUGAACUUUUGAAUGGCUGUCAUGGUGCAGAAACAGGAUAAUGCGGUAUACAGCACUUUACAUAAUGAUUUUCCAAUGGAAAAUGGACAAUGCACAUUAUCAUUAUUAUUGUUAUUUAUUAGCAUUAACCAAAACAGUCCUGGAAGAAAGAAAUUAGACAUGGUCAGUCCAUCUGCCUUCUCUUCUUCAACCAUAUGGGUUACAGCUAUAUGGGAAAACAUGAAGGAGGUACACAGGGCCUUUGAGGCUUGGUGGCAGAUGUGUGGCAUGAUGGAUCAGAAACUACAACCCUUACGUUUAGUUCCCAGCCUUCCAGGACUUUCUAACUUUUGGACAUCAAGGUUACAUUCUCUGAGUCUUCAUUCUCUCAUUUAUAGCAUGGCGUAGUAACAGCAAUCAGAAGAUGAAAUUCAUGCACACAUAUCAAGUGGAUCAUCAUUAAUGUAACUGAAAAUUGGCCAACUUCAUACUCACAUACAAAUAAAAAAACAAACAAUGGUUCUGGAAUGGCCAGUUUCUGUCAGUACCUAGAGAUGGGAGCCUGCCUCACUGGCACU